rnacentral:rRNA from 1 species
CACUCCUACGGGAGGCAGCAGUGGGGAAUAUUGCACAAUGGGCGCAAGCCUGAUGCAGCGACGCCGCGUGGGGGAUGAAGGCCUUCGGGUUGUAAACUCCUUUCGCUAGGGACGAAGCUUUUUUGUGACGGUACCUAGAUAAGAAGCACCGGCUAACUACGUGCCAGCAGCCGCGGUAAUACGUAGGGUGCGAGCGUUGUCCGGAAUUACUGGGCGUAAAGGGCUCGUAGGUGGUUUGUCGCGUCGUCUGUGAAAUUCUGGGGCUUAACUCCGGGCGUGCAGGCGAUACGGGCAUAACUUGAGUGCUGUAGGGGUAACUGGAAUUCCUGGUGUAGCGGUGAAAUGCGCAGAUAUCAGGAGGAACACCGAUGGCGAAGGCAGGUUACUGGGCAGUUACUGACGCUGAGGAGCGAAAGCAUGGGUAGCGAACAGGAUUAGAAACCCGGGUAGUCCCA